UACAGAACCAUUGUCACUUACUUAGGAUAAACAGUUUGAGCAACAAUUCAGGUUAUGAAUUAAUGAAAUUUGUGUUUGGUUUUGUUUACUCAUUUCAUUCGGAUUUUUGCGUUUGGACAAGACAAGGAAACGAUGAUGGUCAGCAAAAUUAACAACCGUAUCUUAAAAGAUUGUCUUGUAUCGCUAUUGGUGGUGUUGGUAUGCUGUUCAAAAGUAUUAGAUUCUAGUCCUUUAAAACGAUACUGUGAUGUCUACAACCCGUUCUGCAGAUGUCCACAGUACAACAACGGAUGUUAUGAAUGCCCCGCCUCAUGCCAAACAGGAAACCACUCUUCGGUUGCGAGUACAUCAGAACAAAUCUCCUUCAGCAACUUCAAUCCUGGAGAAUUACCGACACAUGCAGGU